rnacentral:lncRNA from 1 species
CUAGGGUGAGAAAGGACAGGUGCCUGUGAGGCAGGACUUAAAGGAGGCGCUGGCCCUCAGGGGCAUGCGAGGGCAGGGCUUAGAGAGCCACUACUCGAAGCCAAGCCUUACGUCAGGCAGCAGAGAUACCAAGAUGAGGUUGAAGAAAACACACGGCUUUCUCCACUCAUGGACUCCAAUGAGGAUGGCAACAACAUGGGCUGAGACUUGACCUUGUGACUCCAGCCUAGGAUUAUAUAAGGAUGUGACUGACCUUAGAGGAUUUCACGGGAACUUAGCUGUACACGUGGAACCCAUUUAUUUGCUGACACUUCUCAUUUCCUUUCAGAACAAACCUACAUUCCCAGACCUAUAAUUUUCUUGAGAAAAUGGGUUUAUUAUAAGUCACUCAAUAAAACACCCUACCAUGGCUUCC